CGGGAUCACUUCAAUCCAGGGAGAGGCUCAUCCCAGGAUCACCUCAUUCCAGGAGAACCCCAUUCCAGGGAGAGGCUCAUCCCGGGAUCACUUCAAUCCAGGAGAAGCCCAUUCCAGGAGCAGCCAAUCCCGGGAUUGCCAUGGCUGAUCCCUCUGGGCCGUGGGAGGGGAUCCCUCUGGA